rfam:Spinacia oleracea cultivar SynViroflay scaffold71660.con0001.1, whole genome shotgun sequence.
CUUGCUAUGAUGAGAUAAAGAACACAUGAGUGUUCUGUAGGCAGUGGACAUGAUCUAUUGGUUUUGUUGUGAGCCUUUCAAAUAAACGACUUCUCCUUCUACUGAGCAGU